UACAGAGGGGGCAAGCGUUGUUCGGAAUUACUGGGCGUAAAGGGCGCGUAGGCGCCUGUUAAGUCGGACGUGAAAUCCCUCGGCUCAACCGGGGAACUGCGUCCGAUACUGGCGGGCUUGAAUUCGGGAGAGGGAUGUGGAAUUCCCGGUGUAGCGGUGAAAUGCGUAGAGAUGGGGGAGAACACUCGUGGCGAAGGCGGCCAGCUAGACCAGUUCUGACACUGAGGCGCGACAGCGUGGGGAG
rnacentral:rRNA from 1 species